UACGUAGGGGGCAAGCGUUGUCCGGAAUCAUUGGGCGUAAAGCGCGUGUAGGCGGCUUGGUAAGUCCGCUCUGAAAGCCCGGGGCUCAACCCCGGGAGGCGGGUGGAUACUGUCAAGCUCGAGUCCGGAAGAGGCGAGUGGAAUUCCUGGUGUAGCGGUGAAAUGCGCAGAUAUCAGGAGGAACGCCAAUGGCGAAGGCAGCUCGCUGGGACGUGACUGACGCUGAGACGCGAAAGCAUGGGUAGCGAACAGG
rnacentral:rRNA from 1 species